GAUGCAACCAAAAUUCCUCGAUCAAUUCUCAGAUGUGCUGGUACAAGCAAAUGUGAUAAAUAGAGAUAAGACCCAUUGGGGGAGGGGGGUUUCAAAAACGAGCUUUCCUUUUCCGUGCAGUGUACUUUGUAUCAGGAGGGAAAAAGUUGGCUACCAAAGGUGAGAGGCUAGUAAUACUGGGUUACAACAGGUUUUUGUUGACUUCCAAAAGAGGGCUCUGGUAUUUAAAAUCUCUCCAGAUUACAGUAUGUGGACUUACAGUUGGAUUUUCUUCAUCUGCACUGCUGUCAUCUUCAGAACAGCUCUCUCCGUCUUCACCUUUUGCUUUUGGUGUAGCACUACUGAGAGAGGGGGGGCCACAAGUGAGCACAAGGUAUUCCUUUCUGCUCUUUGAACUGUUCCAUCAAAAUAAGUAUCAGACCUUUACUAUCAACAAGAAUAAUGCUUCUACCUGUAAUUUCAGGAUAUGGUUACUUGCGUGUCUGCUUUUAUAAGACCAUUUAGCCAAGAGCUUCCUUGUUUCAAUUCAGAUAUAUUGCAAUUUCACUUAUAUUGUAACCUUUUCCAUGUGGUAAGCCACUAUGAUUGUUAACUGAAACAUGAGCGAGCUCCUGAACAGUCAUUCAUUAUUUUCCAUUUUCAAACAAAAUAAAUAAGAUGCUCGUUAAAUUUCAA